rnacentral:rRNA from 1 species
GACGAACGCUGGCGGCGUGCCUAAUACAUGCAAGUAGAACGCUGAAGCUUGGUGCUUGCACCGAGCGGAUGAGUUGCGAACGGGUGAGUAACGCGUAGGUAACCUUCCUGGUAGCGGGGGAUAACUAUUGGAAACGAUAGCUAAUACCGCAUAAGAGUAGAUGUUGCAUGACAUUUGCUUAAAAGGUGCAAUUGCAUCACUACCAGAUGGAUCCGCGUUGUAUUAGCUAGUUGGUGAGGUAACGGCUCACCAAGGCAACGAUACAUAGCCGACCUGAGAGGGAUCACGGCCACACUGGGACUGAGACACGGCCCACACUUCUGCGGGAGGCAGCAGUAGGGGAGCUUCGGCAAUGGAUGGAAGUCUGACCGAGCAACGCCGCGUGAGGGAAGAAGGGUUUCGGGUCGUUAAGAUCUGUUGUAAGGGAAGCACGAGUGGGGGAGUGGAAAGUUCACACUGUGACGGUAUCUUAACAGAAAAGGACGGCUAACUACGUG